AAACACCAUGACCAAGGCAACUUAUAAAAGAAAGUCUUGAAUUGGGAACAUACAUUUCAGGGGAUUAGGGCCCAUGAGCAUCGUGGCAAUCAGGUAUGGUUCUGGAGCAGUAGCUGAGAGCUCACAUCCUGGGACAGCCAAGAGGCAGAGAGAGACACUGCGGAUGAUUUGAAUCUUCCAAAACCUCAAAGCCCACCUCCAGCGACACACCUCCCCUGAAUCCUUCUCAAACAUUUGGCUUUCCUGUAGUCCCAUCUGUUGAUGCUUGGGGUUUGUUCCUCUGUUAUCCGCGUAAAAAUAGAACGUUACUCUAGGUUUUGAAAGUUUUGUUGAAGACAAGAUCUACUGUGAGACUUGCCAGGGCAGCUACUGGGAACUAGGACAGCUGUGUGAGGAAGAGGAGCUUUUGGACAUAGGACUGCUGGUGGACCUGCCAAAAGUAACAAAAAUCGCUGUUGCCAGCAAAGGUCUUCAAAGGCAGUGACAGUGACAAUGUUCCCUUCUGGACUGAGCUUCAAGUUGCCUCUGUCACCAGCUAGGAAACCAAAUCCAAGAGACUUCCUUCCUUCCACCAGUUUCCCGUGGGAUGCUGCCAUCCGGGUGACCUCCUCUUCCUGCAAGUCCCCGUUCUGCUGAGAUUCGUGACAGGCAGGAAGCGACUCUUUCUAAGAACUCCCCACCCCCACCCCCACCCCCCUGACAAGCAUAGGACAGACUAGAUGCAAGUGUA